rnacentral:rRNA from 1 species
UACGUAGGUGGCGAGCGUUGUCCGGAUUUACUGGGCGUAAAGCGCGCGCAGGCGGACUGAUCAGUCUGGGGUGAAAUCUCACGGCUCAACUGUGAGCGGUCCCUGGAUACUGUCAGGUCUUGAGAUGUCUAGAGGAGAAGCGGAAUUCCCGGUGUAGUGGUGGAAUGCGUAGAUAUCGGGAAGAACACCAGUGGCCGAAAGCGGCUCUCUGGGGACCAUCUGACGCUGAGAAGGCGAAAAGCAUGGGGAGCGAACAGG